GACCAACCAAACUCUCAUAUACCAAGAUAGUUUCACUUGCUACAAUCGAACUGUGGCUGCGAACAAUGGCUUGCUUUUGGAAGACAAUACAAGCAUUGGUUGUGCUCUGCCUCGUAACUCCAGUACAGGAUCGGACCAUCCACCACUAUAAUAUAUCUUCAAGUUCAGAAGGCUCUAAAAAAGCUGCUCUAGCUCUCGUGCGUUUCUCUCCCUGUAGUUUAGUUUCAUUUCAGUUUGGCCUUUUCUGCCUUGAGAACUCUAGAUUUGUUAGAACGUUUACUUGGAAUCACUAGUGCUAGUGCAUGCUUAUCUAUCUUGUCCCUUACU